rnacentral:rRNA from 1 species
AGUGUUUGAUCAUGGCUCAGGAUGAACGCUAGCUACAGGCUUAACACAUGCAAGUCGAGGGGAAACGAUAUUGAAAGCUUGCUUUCGAUAGGCGUCGACCGGCGCACGGGUGAGUAACGCGUAUCCAACCUGCCUGGAAAUAGGGAAUAAUCCGUGGAAACGCGGCCUAAUGUCCUAUGUGCUCCGAAGAGGACAUCUGAUUUGGAGUAAAGAUUCAUCGUUUCCGGAUGGGGAUGCGUCUGAUUAGCUUGCUGGCGGGGUAACGGCCCACCAGGGCGACGAUCAGUAGGGGUUCUGAGAGGAAGGUCCCCCACAUUGGAACUGAGACACGGUCCAAACUCC